rnacentral:rRNA from 1 species
UACGAAGGGGGCUAGCGUUGCUCGGAAUCACUGGGCGUAAAGCGCACGUAGGCGGCUUUCUAAGUCAGGGGUGAAAUCCUGGAGCUCAACUCCAGAACUGCCUUUGAUACUGGGAAGCUCGAGUCCGGAAGAGGUGAGUGGAACUGCGAGUGUAGAGGUGAAAUUCGUAGAUAUUCGCAAGAACACCAGUGGCGAAGGCGGCUCACUGGUCCAUAACUGACGCUGAGGCACGAAAGCGUGGGGAGCAAACAGG